rnacentral:rRNA from 1 species
UUGACCUCAAAUCAGGUAGGACUACCCGCUGAACUUAAGCAUAUCAAUAAGCGGAGGAAAAGAAACUAACAAGGAUUCCCCUAGUAACUGCGAGUGAAGCGGGAAAAGCUCAAAUUUGAAAUCUGGCAGCUCUUUGAACUGUCCGAGUUGUAAUCUAGAGAAGUGCUACCUGUGCUGGACCGUGUACAAGUCUCCUGGAAUGGAGCGUCACAGAGGGUGAGAAUCCCGUCUUUGACACGGACUGCCUGCACGUUAUGGUGCGCUCUCAAAGAGUCGAGUUGUUUGGGAAUGCAGCUCAAAAUGGGUGGUAAAUGCCAUCUAAAGCUAAAUAUUGGCGAGAGACCGAUAGCGAACAAGUACCGUGAGGGAAAGAUGAAAAGAACUUUGGAAAGAGAGUUAAACAGUACGUGAAAUUGCUGAAAGGGAAACGCUUGAAGUCAGUCGCGUCGGCUAGAAAUCAACCUCGCUUUUGCUUGGUGUACUUUCUUGUUGAUGGGUCAGCAUCAAUUUUGACCGUUGGAUAAAGUCUUUGGGAAUGUGGCAUCUUAGGAUGUGUUAUAGCCCAUUGUCGCAUACAGCGGUUGGGAUUGAGGAACUCAGCACGCCCGCAAGGGACGGGUUUUUACCACGUUCGUGCUUAGGAUGCUGGCAUAAUGGCUUUAAUCGACCCGUC